AGAGCUAGGCAAUGUGUUGCUUGCGAUCGAUCGGCAGCGGGAAUCCUCCUUCUUGCGCUUGUCUCUUCCGAAAUAUCGAUGCUUGAGGCACUUUUCGUGCGUGUUCUCGCAGAUCGCCACCGCGCGGCGGAGCAUUCACUGGGUAGGAGCCAUCGCUCGAGCGUAGAAAUCUCUCUCCGCUUAAACCCUAAGCCUCGGUAGCCAUCGGUUAGAUCCAUAACUCUUUCUUUCCCUGUUUCUUCGGUCGAUUGCGCAGGCAUUGCAAAGAUCUUUAAAGCUAGAACGAUAACUACAUUGCUUGCUCAACUAGACAAUCUCGGCUCCGGAUAGAGGUAUCAUCAUACCUUGGAAAUUUUCAGGUCCUGAGCGUGCAAGUGGAUUCGGGAAUAGGAGCAAACAGAAGCCUUCGAUUCCAUCGGACUCAAUCUACUGUUGACAAGGUAGAUCCAUACUCCUUUACAAACUAGUUGAAUUUCUCCUCCAUUUCCAUCCUCUUCUCUUCAUUUUUUUCCAUCUGCUGGAUGAUGCUCAUUCCUAGAUCAAGGCAUGCUUGGACCAGUGUCCGAUCUCUGCCACUCUCGCAUCUGGUGGCCGAGCUCCACGAGCACACUAAACAGCCAAGAACUCUUUGCAAGCGCUAGCGGAUUCUCCUUCAGCGGUUUUGUAAUGGGCGCCUGGGAGGGUACAAGGAUGUGGCAUGGUGACAACGAUGGCAUUAUAAUAGCCCGAGCGAUGCACACUCCGUGCGUGGCUCACACCUUCGAACGCUUGCGUGCUGUUUUCCAUAGCGUGAAUGACGACGUGGAGAUAAUGUUUGGAAUUUUGGCACUGGAAGCCAGCGGCAUUCGGUCGAAGAUCCUCUGGAGUUGAUUGUUGCGUGAAAACGAGACGAGCAUCGUGUUCCAAGCGACGAGAUCCAUCCCGGGCAGGCAUAAAACUUAGUGUUCGUUCAGCAGAGUUGAUAUGCCACGUUGGAGAUUUGGAGAUGAGUGCUUGGAUGAUGCCGCUUGAGAUCAAUGCAAAGUAUGGAAUCCACUCUAUAGCAUUGCGCUGCUCCACUCUCACCCCAUUUCCCCUUGAAAAUAGCGACUUCCAAAGAAAAAAAAAGCGAUUCAUUUCUAGCUUCCCGAUUUCCUAUACUCCGAUUCUAGUGUGUCGACACCGAUAACAAGGGAUCGGACAGCUCUG
rnacentral:lncRNA from 1 species